AAAUUGAAGAGUUUGAUCAUGGCUCAGAUUGAACGCUGGCGGCAGGCCUAACACAUGCAAGUCGAACGGUAACAGGAAGAAGCUUGCUUCUUUGCUGACGAGUGGCGGACGGGUGAGUAAUGUCUGGGAAACUGCCUGAUGGAGGGGAUAACUACUGGAAACGGUAGCUAAUACCGCAUAACGUCGCAAGACCAAAGAGGGGGACCUUCGGGCCUCUUGCCAUCGGAUGUGCCCAGAUGGGAUUAGCUAGUAGGUGGGGUAACGGCUCACCUAGGCGACGAUCCCUAGCUGGUCUGAGAGGAUGACCAGCCACACUGGAACUGAGACACGGUCCAGACUCCUACGGGAGGCAGCAGUGGGGAAUAUUGCACAAUGGGCGCAAGCCUGAUGCAGCCAUGCCGCGUGUAUGAAGAAGGCCUUCGGGUUGUAAAGUACUUUCAGCGGGGAGGAAGGGAGUAAAGUUAAUACCUUUGCUCAUUGACGUUACCCGCAGAAGAAGCACCGGCUAACUCCGUGCCAGCAGCCGCGGUAAUACGGAGGGUGCAAGCGUUAAUCGGAAUUACUGGGCGUAAAGCGCACGCAGGCGGUUUGUUAAGUCAGAUGUGAAAUCCCCGGGCUCAACCUGGGAACUGCAUCUGAUACUGGCAAGCUUGAGUCUCGUAGAGGGGGUAGAAUUCCAGGUGUAGCGGUGAAAUGCGUAGAGAUCUGGAGGAAUACCGGUGGCGAAGGCGGCCCCUGGACGAAGACUGACGCUCAGGUGCGAAAGCGUGGGGAGCAAACAGGAUUAGAUACCCUGGUAGUCCACGCCGUAAACGAUGUCGACUUGGAGGUUGUGCCCUUGAGGCGUGGCUUCCGGAGCUAACGCGUUAAGUCGACCGCCUGGGGAGUACGGCCGCAAGGUUAAAACUCAAAUGAAUUGACGGGGGCCCGCACAAGCGGUGGAGCAUGUGGUUUAAUUCGAUGCAACGCGAAGAACCUUACCUGGUCUUGACAUCCACAGAACUUUCCAGAGAUGGAUUGGUGCCUUCGGGAACUGUGAGACAGGUGCUGCAUGGCUGUCGUCAGCUCGUGUUGUGAAAUGUUGGGUUAAGUCCCGCAACGAGCGCAACCCUUAUCCUUUGUUGCCAGCGGUCCGGCCGGGAACUCAAAGGAGACUGCCAGUGAUAAACUGGAGGAAGGUGGGGAUGACGUCAAGUCAUCAUGGCCCUCACGACCAGGGCUAACACGUGCUACAAUGGCGCAUACAAAGAGAAGCGACCUCGCGAGAGCAAGCGGACCUCAUAAAGUGCGUCGUAGUCCGGAUUGAGUCUGCAACUCGACUCCAUGAAGUCGGAAUCGCUAGUAAUCGUGGAUCAGAAUGCCACGGUGAAUACGUUCCCGGGCCUUGUACACACCGCCCGUCACACCAUGGGAGUGGGUUGCAAAAGAAGUAGGUAGCUUAACCUUCGGGAGGGCGCUUACCACUUUGUGAUUCAUGACUGGGGUGAAGUCGUAACAAGGUAACCGUAGGGGAACCUGCGGUUGGAUCACCUCCUUA
rnacentral:rRNA from 1 species